rnacentral:rRNA from 1 species
UGCGUAGGCGGUUGGGUAAGUCUGACGUGAAAUCUCCGGGCCUAACCCGGAAACUGCGUUGGAUACUAUUCAGCUAGAGGAAUGGAGGGGAGACUGGAAUACUUGGUGUAGCAGUGAAAUGCGUAGAUAUCAAGUGGAACACCAGUGGCGAAGGCGAGUCUCUGGACAUUUCCUGACGCUGAGGCACGAAAGCCAGGGGAGCAAACGGGAUUAGAUACCCCGGUAGUCCUGGCCCUAAACGGUGCACGUUUGCUGUAAGCGGAAUCGACCCCGCUUGUGGCGUAGUUAACACGAUAAACGUGCCGCCUGGGAAGUACGGCCGCAAGGUUAAA